UCCUGUGUCCAGCCUUGCCAAUCAGGCCGGCCUCCACAUGCUGGAGGCGCCGCUGAUUGCUCUCCAGGUUCCCCAAGAUCAUGCAGCAGGUACUUAGCCAGCUACCAUUGUGAAUGAAUGGCAGACUCGCCCCCGGCUGUUUGUAACAAAACUGGAAGUUUGAAACUCUUGCUUUGUUCAUGGUUUGGCGUACCUACCCUGGCGGUGUGUGCGUGUUCUUGCAAAUAAGGUCUAUGGCCCAUUUACAUAUAUUUGAUGCUCUUAGAUGGACAUGAAAACACUUGCUUGUAGAUUUGGCGCCACUAUAUUUUAGGUCCAUGUUCUAACUGUCAAUAAUAUGGCACUACACUUGGUUUUAUCUCCUGUUUUUUAGAGUUCGAUGAAAAACUGCCACACCAAAGUUGGUUGCUUCUAGGUGCUAUUGUAUAGUGAAUGAUAACUGAUUUAUAGUCCUGAGAUGUUUAUUUGUGUUCUCUUCCCAAACAUAGCUACUGUUUUAAUUUUGAUUUGGUCGCUAUUAUGAUUGCUUAAGCUUCAUCAUGUUCCCUCUUCUUUUCAGAAAAAGAACAUUUAGCUUAUUCUUUGUGGUUGUCUAAUCUUCCAUAACCUCGGCUUGCGCAACCGUUGCAGUUGUCGUCACCUCUUCUUGGUUCAGGUGAGCCCUUGAUCUCCCUCCCUCUUUUUCACUGAGAUAGUCUGCCAAAUUUUGAAUGUUGAUUCAGUGUUCAGAUCUCCGGUGGUUUUCUUCUGGCCACCACAAUCAUGUGAGCUUGCUGGAUUUUUGUCCCUAUGAGCUGGCCGAAUUGAUUAUUUCAAAAUGGUAAGGAUUUUUGGCAGUCAAGGGCUUAGUUGGAUUGAAAAUGUGAAAUCUAAGCCCUUUGACAAAUUAAAUGUUGUCUCUCGACUAUGGAGCAAAAUUAUAUGAUUUGGUCUUUGUUUGUUAUCUUGUCACGUAGUUGGACGAAAUGGGAACUUCCCUAUCUGCUAAAUCGAGCACGCAUUGCAUUAGCUUCAUUGAGUAAGUGCCAUAUCGAGCGAAGCAGAGCAGGAGCUUGCUCUUGUCUUGGCGCUAUUUUUGGUACUGCUAUCGCGUCAUGUUUAUUUGGUUACGGUCACCAUUGAUGAACAGUUCAUCUACAGUUUGAAAUAAGUUCGGGUCAGAACACUGGUUUUUUUCCCUUGCAUUUUUGGUUCAAAAAGUACCAGUUUGAUUAGCUGCAGUUCGUAUUUGUACUAUAUAGAACACAUAUUAAUAAAUUAGCUCAAUGGAAUAAGCGCGUAACCAAGCUAAGGGUAGCAGGGCUUGCACUUGUCUUGUUGCUAUAUUUGGUACUGCGAUGGUGUCAUGUUCAGUUAGUUACUAUCACCAUCGAUCAACUAGAUUCCAUUUGCAUUUUGAAACUAGUUUUGAUAAAGAACACUGAUACCUGUAGUAUUUUUGGUUGAAAAAGCACCAGCAUGAUAGGGCAGUGGAGUUCUAAUUCUUGAGUGACACACUGUGACAGUGUGACCGCAUUAUGGAAUUUUUUUAACCUGUUAUGCCAAUGCCUCUUCACUGUUUGAUAUCUAACCGUGUACUUAUUUUGAUGUCCUUUGUAACAGAAUUUACCCAGAAAUGCCCUUUUAGCAUGGAAAAAUAAAUUUCAUUCUACGCUCUCAACUAUACAUGUAGUGAGAAUGAUGAACAUCUUUGUUCUUGUUGUUGUUGCCUACAGCACGUGCCACUUGGUCUGGUGCAGGGCAGGGUGAUGCAUGUGGCGUAGCUGCCCAGCAAGAUGGGCCUCGUCGACAAGAGGUGCAGGAAGGAACGAUCAUAUGGUCAUUGUUGUGAUUGCGGAUGCUCACCAAGAUCACAUCGCCCAAAGCAUGAAUUUCUGGACCUCACCAUCUAUUCCUCGGUCCAGGCAAGUUUGUGGUCUCCUCCUCCCCCCCUCUCUCUCUCUCNNNNNNNNNNNNNNNNNNNNNNNNNNNNNNNNNNNNNNNNNNNNNNNNNNNNNNNNNNNNNNCACACACACAGAGAUACACAUACACAUACGUGCACCCCUAGAUUGUCAGUCAUCUGAGUCGUGGUUGAUCGUGGUUCGGGCCAUCGAGCCAAUGAUUAGUGUUUGGAUCUACGGUGGCAUUCUUGUGUGACUGGUUGAUCAUCUUUCUUGUUGAUGAGACUGGUACCUUGUAUUUUUGUGCUGGGUCCUGUUUAGCACUUCAUGCUACACGGUUUGGUAAUGUCAUGCUUAGUUUUGAUAGAUAGGAUCCAUCCUUACUUAUUUUGGGAUUUUGACUUGUUGGUGGUUUGCUAGAAUCAAAUAGAAGAAAAUGCUUACUUGGUGUAGUGUGGCUGGUGCAUAGAUAGAUAGAACAAGUGCCAUCCUCGUGUACUUUUGAGGGAGCCAUCAUGUGUUGGCAAUAUUUAUGAUAAGUCGUGGAUGCUUUUGCCCAUGAAGAGUGGAUAUUAUUCUGGCUUUGGAACUACCUUUUUUAUCAGUCUAUUCAUGAUUGAGUCCAGACUUUUUUUUGGUUGUAUGAAAUGUUAGCCUGCAUUUGCUUAGGUUAGGACAACAUGUGUUUUGUGUUUUUCUGUAAACAAAUGUUUUGUGAUUUUUCAGAGUGAAUGUCUACUUGGGGUAACAACCUUCUUAACAAGAGCCUUUCUGGUCAAAUUCCACAAUCCUUGACAUAUUUGAUCUUGUAGGCGUCAAAAUUUUUGUGGCAUUGAGCCGUUAUACAAGUGCUGAGGUUAUUUGCAUUUUGUAAAAGCUAGCUUUUGGUUAUUUGUUAUGUUGCAUCGCUCUGCUGUUGGCUGAAAUGGUGUGUUGUGAGUGUCGUGUCCAAAGCAAAGCAAUUUGUCAAGUAGAGAGAAUAAUUUUUCUGGGCUGGCUUAUGAUCUUCGCCUAUACAAAGGGAUAGUGUAUUUGUUGGUUGGAAAAAGUGAUGCAUACCAUUGGUACUUUGCUUUUGUCAGGACCCCGACUCAAUGCCACAUCGAUCCAGCAUGUAACACUUCAUAUCACUUUGCGGCCUCACGCACGGUAUUCCCACGGGUGUCGCCUUACCUUUACCCGGGAUCGUUUGCGUCUUUUGGCACACGUAUAUGAUAAUGUCGCUAGCAUCCAUAUGAUAAGGAGCCCGGGCUGACAUGGCUAUUCGUAAACCCAAAGUGGCACAAACUUACAGGGACAGACAUCCAUGACCCAGCAUCGAACGUGUCGGUCAUCAGCGAGUGAAUCCAGGCUGUAGCACUGGGCUAGCAGGACUUCGGUGAACCAGGCUGUAGCGGGCUAACAGGACUCCGGUAUUCAUCGCGUGACAUUUCCCCGAAGGGACAGACACAGGAACGAAGAAGGACACAUGCCGGCCAGCCUAAGUGUUUCGGAGCAGUAGCAAGCUACCAUGGCUCGGUGGAAACACUAGGAGACAUUUCCCGGUAAGAGAGGCUACUAAAGAUAAACAACUAGAUAGUCAGAUCCCACACAUAUCAAGCAUUUCAAUAACAUACACACAAUAUGCUCGAUAUGUGCAAUACAACAUGGCAUCACAAAAUGACUCUACGACUCAAGUAGUUUAUUCAAUAGGCUUCGAGGAGCGAGACAUUACAAACAUGGGUCUCAUGACCCAACAAUCAGAGCAUACAAGUCAAAGCACAAGCGGAAGCUAUCAUGUCUGGGUACAGACAUCUAUAAAUGAAAAAGGCUGAGAAGCCUGACUAUCUAUCAGAUCCUGCCGAGGGCACAAGAUCGUAGCUGAGGUAACAAGCUAAACGUCGAAGUCCACGUGGAACUACUAGUGAGACUGAAGUCUCUCUGCAAAAACAUAAAAUAGGCAAACGUGAGUACAAAUGUACCCAGCAAGACUUACAUCAAAACUAACUACAUAUGCAUCAUUUUCAACAAGGGGAUGGUGGGGUUUAACUGCAGCAAGCCAGCUUUGACUCGGUGGCUAUCCUAAACUACGACUGCAAGCGACUCUUUUGAGGUGGCGCACACGAGUCCACAUAUUCACCAUAUCAAUACACCACUAUGGAUCCGCUCCCGUCUCCCUAUGAGAACGCCAUCCAUAGCACUCACGCUUAUCUUGCGUAUUUUAAAGUAUCCACUUUCACUUGUCUAUGAACUGAUAUAAACAACCAAGUAGUCCUUUACCGCGGACGCGACUAUUCGAAUAGAUCAUGAUAACCCUGCAGGGGUGUACUUCUUCAUACAUGUUUCCACCACUUAGCGUCUGCACACGACAUGUGCUCGGCAGACUUCAAGCUACCGCAACAAGUAACAGAUGAAUCGAUGUUGUCCUAAUGCAGUAAAAGAGAGCAGGAGCGAGAGAGUGGGAUUGUAUCGGAAUGAACAAGGGGGUUUUGCUUGCCUGGCACUUCUGAAGAUAAUAUUGAGUCUUCAUCAGUGUCAACGAUCACAUCAUCGGUAUCACGUCUAUCGAGAGGGGACAAAUACCGGCAACACAGAAGGGAACACAAUCAAUGCAAUGCACAAUAUGAUGCAUGAUCAUGACAUGGCAAAAUGAAUGUGUUUUGAGCCAAUGCAACUAGCAACAGAUUAAAUGAAGUUGGUUUGAAUACAAGAUUCAAAUUCAAACUCCAUAUGUGAUUAUUUAAAUGCCCUUUAUUUGAUUUGUGCUAAACAGCAACUAUAAGUUGUUCUAACAUGCAUGAAAAUGGUACAGAUGGAUUCCUUGAAUUUUACUGAUAAUUUUUCAUAUAUAAAUUAUUUAAUUUGGAGUUACGGUUGAAUUUCUAUGAAUUUUAGAAGUUUAUACAAUUUUCUGGAAUUUAUAAAUCAUUUCCUAAUUUAUUUUAAUUCCAGAAAGGAAUUAUUGCGUCAGCAUGACCUCAUCCUGACGUCAUCAGGUCAACAGGGCGGGUCCAGGUCAAACNNNNNNNNNNAGAUACCUGGUAUUUCUCUCCUUCCCCACUUUAAGCACAAAGAACAACUUCAGAGGCACAUUGUGCGCUUGCACUUAUUAUUUUUACUGUAUUGUCAGUUCGGUGUUUGUGAGAUAGGCAUUGCUAACUUGCAACUUGUGAACCGGUUUACUCCUUGUCUGUCUCUCUCGGCCCUUGUAUCUUGAUUUUACAUGUACCAGUAGACAUCACUUCUGUUAUUUAGAUACAAGUUUUGUGUUUGGACAUGUGAAUUUUCUCUCACUACUUGAAGGUUUCAUGUGGAAUUUCCGAGAGUACCAAACCAACUCCUAGUUUUUCACCCUUCUGUCAGUCCUUGUAUCUAAAUUAACUGCAACUAUUUUCUGCAAGGAACUGCAUUAAGCAAGAACACAAACCCCUGUCUCCACCACAUAUAUUUCUCAUUGUCAAAGGAAGGUCAUCUUUAGAAAUCUGAAGUCAUGGCUGCCUGUUAGGGUGUCUUUGGAUCCUAAGCAAUUGUAGUGUUAGCUUGCUUAGCAAGGAAAUCUGUUUGGUAAAAGCUAAACUAACCUGGCAAUUCCAUCUAGCCUGCACACGCUAGAAAAGCCUUGCCCCAGCAGGAGGGCCAAUUUGGCUCUCCGUUGGUAAUAAAUGAGUGGAAGAAAGAAAUCAAGGUAACUGCCACUGGAAUUGUGCUUAACCAAGGAGAUUGGUAGCUGAACCAAAUAGCUGGCUUUGCCCACGUAGGCUGUAGCUCAAAAGCCUUGGUUAGCUCGGCAUUGACGGCAAAAGAUAUAAACACACCCUCAAUGACAUCACUCCCUCUAAUUCACAAGUGCUGUUUGGACAUUAGCACGCUCCACACCGUAACUUCGACAAGCAAUUUCUGCUAUCAUGCAUACAUUUAAAUUUUUUCUGAGUGGACAGAGUACCAUAUGUUGACUUAGGUGAACAUUUCUGGUUUGUGCAAUAUAUUUAGUUGCCGAGUUGAUCGAUUAGAUUUAGAUAGAAAGCGUCCAAAUACGAAGAAAAUUGCUGAGCCAUUAAACUGUUUUCUGGAGAUCAAAGUCACCAAGUAUUCUAUGGAGGGCUCGCAGAAUGGCGCCUGUACAGAAAUGAGUUGACUUUGUGUUGUUAUCCGGCUUGUUUAGUUCGUUGACCUAUUUGUGUUUAUUGAUCCAUAUUUAAAUGUUCUCAAUUCACAGUCAACAGGAGGUUGGAUGAGUGGGUUAAACUUGAACAACCUGCUCUCUCUCACGUUGCUCUUCACCUUUGUUUGAAUUCGUUUUGCAUCGUUUGGUAGAACCGGGAUGAAUUUUGAUUAAGUUGUUUGCCCUUUCUUUGUGUUGUGUUCAAUUUCAUCACUGAUUUCCUUGUUAGUACCACUACUUGUUUCUGCGACUAUUCUAAUUGCAGACGACGACAUCAGCAUCCCUACAGAUCUGAAGCGGCCCAUCCUUAAUGGUUUCUACCGCCAUAUCUACCAACCCCGACCGGAUUUAUCAUUGCAUGGGAUCUCUCCUUAUCCGACGCUCACUCUGACGCAUCUGGCAUAGGUAAGCCACUGGUUCCUCCUCUGGUCACCCUCAUGCUCCGUGUAACCAUGGCCACCGAGUUGUGAUGAUUUUUUUUGUACACGAAUGAGAUAAUUUAUGUGUUCCAAACAUUGUGCACAGAUCAUUCUUAUAUUUGCUUGAAUUGGGAAACCCAAUCAAAUCAUCUUCUUUUGUGCUUCCUAUUUGCUGAUCCAUCGUAUGGGUGUACUGUGUAUGUAUGUAAAGGAGAUGGAGAAAGAUAGGAGUUGUAGCUUUUAGAAAUCUUGGUAUUGAUGGGGAAAGAUAGUGAUCACAGUUUCUUUGUUGGAAAGUGUCCAAACUUUUUUUCCCGGAAAUAUAAAUAUGAAUAAAGACAUUGUAUUUCUGUUACCAAAUAAAAAUCAUCUCCUUUUGUGUUUUUUAUGGCUGAUCCAUUUUAUGGGUGUUUUGUGCUUGCAUGUAAAGGGAAUGGGGAAAGAUGGGAGUACUAGCUUUUAGAAACACAUUUACUUAUUGGAAUUCCAGUAUUAAUGGGGGAAGAUAAUAAUCACUGUGUCCAGGUUAGAAAGCUUCCAAUUACGAAGAAAAUAGCCAGAGCUAUUAAACAUUUUUCUGGAGAUUCAAUUCACCUAUUAUAUUUCUGUUCCUCCGAUACUGCUACGUUCUUUUCAUGAUUGGUAACUACAAGUGUUCCCUUUUUGAUUAACAGAAGUGAUUGCAAAGGAGCUGGAUGUGCAGGGCCAUGGAAUCCCGAUGACAGUGGCCAACAUCACCUACAUAGGCAUGAACGACCUCCAUGCUGUUGGCGGCCUUGGCACGCUACUGUUCUACCUUUAUCUCCUGGAGGUCAAGAUGGAUGUUGACAUUCCCAACACUGUUCAGGGUAAUUCAUUCAUUCAUGCCCCAUACUUGGCAUGCUAUUGUUCUAACUUUAUCUCCUGGAGGUCAAGAUGGAGGUCAAGGUGGAUCGGCAGGAGCUAGAAGUAAGGUUAUCUCCUUUUUCUUCCAUUCCGAAGAUGGUUGCCAUUUAUACAUUUCAAGUUAGUAGCUAUUCCAUUGUAUCACAAUAGAGAAGUAAUUUGGUUGCGUGAAAAACAUCUAGGUUUCUCACUGGAGCGGAACUCCUUUGCACGGAGUCUCAUAACGCAGACUCAUCCCUGAAAGCACUAUGACAGCACUCAGGUUCAAUCAUGUGUUGCCCCCUGAAGGUCGGUUGCGUGCUUGAUCAUCCUGUCACAUCACAUAUAUUCAUGUUGGCAUUGUGUGGGCCUAACAAAAAAUGCUUGGUUUGCUACAAUUUUAGGCUGCUCCUGUGUCCAGCCUUGCCAAUCAGGCCGGCCUCCACAUGCUGGAGGCGCCGCUGAUUGCUCUCCAGGUUCCCCAAGAUCAUGCAGCAGGUACUUAGCCAGCUACCAUUGUGAAUGAAUGGCAGACUCGCCCCCGGCUGUUUGUAACAAAACUGGAAGUUUGAAACUCUUGCUUUGUUCAUGGUUUGGCGUACCUACCCUGGCGGUGUGUGCGUGUUCUUGCAAAUAAGGUCUAUGGCCCAUUUACAUAUAUUUGAUGCUCUUAGAUGGACAUGAAAACACUUGCUUGUAGAUUUGGCGCCACUAUAUUUUAGGUCCAUGUUCUAACUGUCAAUAAUAUGGCACUACACUUGGUUUUAUCUCCUGUUUUUUAGAGUUCGAUGAAAAACUGCCACACCAAAGUUGGUUGCUUCUAGGUGCUAUUGUAUAGUGAAUGAUAACUGAUUUAUAGUCCUGAGAUGUUUAUUUGUGUUCUCUUCCCAAACAUAGCUACUGUUUUAAUUUUGAUUUGGUCGCUAUUAUGAUUGCUUAAG
rnacentral:lncRNA from 1 species